AGACCAUGGAAUUUAUAUUUGUGAGGAUCUAUUUUAUUAGAUUAUGAGUAUCAGUAAUAAUAAAUUAAAUAAUUUUGACCAAAAUACAGUCACGGUUGGAAAUUUAUUUUGUGGAUACCUUAUAACCACUAUUGCCUAUUAAUUUGAUAAAAGAAUUGAUUUGGCAUUAGUUAAAGCAUCAUGUAAUUUUGAGUGGAUUUCUUCUAUUUUCAAUAUACAUAGGCUUAGAGUAACUCCCUAUUAGCGCAGCGUUAGGUUUCUUGUGGUGCAAGCAAAACAAAAUUAGGGUUUAAAUGGAGAAGAUGAAGUUGGUUAUGGUGGUUGAAGUUAGUUGGGGAGAGAGAGUAUUGAAUUGAAAAUUUUAUUCACACACAAAUGAUUGAGUUGCAAGCAAGUAUAUAUACAAUGACUUAUAGAGUAAGUCUCUUGUAACUAACUAAAGUGAAGUUUAUCCAAACUAACAAACUAAACUCUUAAGUGUUUGUAAUCAUUUGGAUAUAUAUAAUUUUGUUUUAGCUUCUUAAAAAAAAUCACUUGAUCUUACUAAUAAUUUAUUCACGUGUAACCUUUGCUUCUCUCUUAGCUUGAUCCAGUGGUAACCUGUCUUUUAUUUUACUUUUUUCUUAAAUAGCUUAAUGGAGAUCAAAUGGCC
rnacentral:lncRNA from 1 species